AGAGUUUGAUCAUGGCUCAGAUUGAACGCUGGCGGAAUGCUUUACACAUGCAAGUCGAGCGGCAGCGCGGUCUUCGGACUGGCGGCGAGCGGCGAACGGGUGAGUAAUACAUCGGAACAUGCCCAGUCGUGGGGGAUACCACUUCGAAAGAAGUGCUAAUACCGCAUACGUCCUGAGGGAGAAAGCGGGGGAUCGCAAGACCUCGCGCGAUUGGAGUGGCCGAUGUCAGAUUAGCUAGUUGGUGGGGUAAAGGCCUACCAAGGCAACGAUCUGUAGCUGGUCUGAGAGGAUGAUCAGCCACACUGGGACUGAGACACGGCCCAGACUCCUACGGGAGGCAGCAGUGGGGAAUUUUGGACAAUGGGGGCAACCCUGAUCCAGCCAUUCCGCGUGAGUGAAGAAGGCCUUCGGGUUGUAAAGCUCUUUCGGCAGGAACGAAACGGCGAGCUCUAACAUAGCUCGCUAAUGACGGUACCUGAAGAAGAAGCACCGGCUAACUACGUGCCAGCAGCCGCGGUAAUACGUAGGGUGCGAGCGUUAAUCGGAAUUACUGGGCGUAAAGCGUGCGCAGGCGGUUGUGUAAGACAGGUGUGAAAUCCCCGGGCUUAACCUGGGAACUGCGCUUGUGACUGCACGGCUAGAGUAUGGCAGAGGGGGGUGGAAUUCCACGUGUAGCAGUGAAAUGCGUAGAGAUGUGGAG
rnacentral:rRNA from 1 species